AUCUAAAGUUUGUCUUUUCAGAUACACUGCAAGUUUCAUGAUAGCAGGGACCAUGUCCGUGUGGAUCACCAUUAUAUUUCCAAUACCUGUUCCUUGCAUGGGAUCUCAGGGACCAGGAAAGCGUCUUCAACGUGUGAACACACGAGUCUUCACCUAGAAGAGUCAGCCAGGUGGGUCUCCGAGAUGCCCAAGUGGAGGAGAAGCAAGGCCUGCAGAAUGAGGUUAGAGGGCCAUAGCAACAGAAUGUGCUCAGCUCUGGAGGGUGGACAAUCAGCCCACGCACACAGAGAACAAGGAACGUGAUACAUGACAGCGAAACUUGAAGCCUCCCCAUGACCCUUCUGAUUCUUCUCCUCACCCAACUGCCUGAGAACUGGACCUUUGACAUAUGCCACUUAUUUGUUGUAGCAUGUGUAUUCCUUCCACAGAGUGUAGAUUGUAAUUUCAGACUUUCAUUACAUGUCUUCUCUUGCCAUUAUUAUAUCUUAAUUUCUGUGCCAUUUUACUAAAAAUGAUUCAAAACAAAAGCGGUUAAAGCUCAUUCUAGGUAAACUCAAGAAAUGGAUUUUUUUUUAAGUUCAUCAACUUUAUGCCAUCCACAGACAGAAAAAUUAAGCAUUUUAUUGGUGGCUCACUGCCUCCAAAAAACUCUUUCCUUCACAGGUACCGCUUUUGAGUAUCUACAAUGACGUACAAGCACAUACUGCAGGCAUCCCUUUCUAUGGAAAAUGUCAGUUCAAAGGAACGAGGUUGGGUUUUUUCACAGCACGGGAAGUUUAGUAGAUGCUGAAUAAUAACAUUGAUACCGAUGACAGUGCUCUAAUCAAUCAUUUUUAUUACUUUUGGUUAGGAAUAUUACGUACAAGCAUAUUCACACGUGUGUGUUUGUAUCAUAUGUGUUCGCUUUUUACAAAGCUUCUAAAUAAAAUUGGAGAAUAUCCAAUCCAGGAAGCUCUAAUGUCAAUCUUUAUUUUACAAGCGCCAAAAUGUAUACCACAAGAAGUUGUCAUUCAUCAUGACACUUCACAUGUACUGCACUGUUUUAAUAGAAAAAUCUAAAGUUUCAUUAUGUUAAUGUUGAGCAAUGAAAAUAAAACAUCAUAAAAAAAUAAGCACUUUUUGGUGAUUGGCUAUAGCAAUUUUCUGUCAGCUUCAAGCACAAUAAAAGCGCACUGAAUGGGAAGAGAACAAAUGCUGGGAAUCCAGCAGCGCCCAGGAGGUUUGACUGGAUCCCUGGAAAUCUAGUGUUGAUAAGCAACAGCCCAAAUAAAACACAACUU